rnacentral:rRNA from 1 species
AUACGGAGGAUGCAAGCGUUAUCCGGAUUUAUUGGGUUUAAAGGGUGCGUAGGCUGUUCGGAAAGUCGGGGGUGAAAGCCCGGCGCCUAACGCCGGAACUGCCUUUGAUACUUCCGAGCUGGAAUACGGAUGCCGUGGGAGGAAUGAGUAGUGUAGCGGUGAAAUGCAUAGAUAUUACUCAGAACACCGAUUGCGAAGGCAUCUCAUGAAUCCGUCAUUGACGCUGAGGCACGAAAGCGUGGGGAUCAAACAGGAUUAGAUACCCUGGUAGUCCACGCAGUAAACGAUGAUGACUAACCGUCGGCGAUACACAGUCGGUGGCCAAGCGAAAGCGAUAAGUCAUCCACCUGGGGAGUACGUUCGCAAGAAUGAAACUCAAAGGAAUCGACGGGG